GUUCACUUCUUCUCCCCGACACCGAGCCGUGCCUCUCCUUGCCCUAACCGCCCGCGCCCUUCUUCUCCUUUUAUUCUGCUUCAUUUCCUCUCUUUUCCUCUCACGCCGAAGCCUUUUUCCCUCUGCCCCUUUCCAGUGCCGCCGACCCGAGUAGCACCGCCGCAAACCGUGCCCUAGCUGUCGGUGACGUACGGAGCAGCGCCGAUAGCCGGUGCCCUAGCCUCAACCCGCGACACCCGACGCCAGCGACGCCACUUCCUUGCCUCUGCCGCCGUCGAACGGAGAGUGCCAGUCAACCUUUCCUCUGCCCUCGAGCCCGAGCACAGCCGACAGCCAAGACCUAGUUUCCCGAUCGCUUCUGCCCUAGCGCCGGUUGCCACUACUUUUGUGCCAGCCGACGCCACUGCCCUAGUGCUCUCUGCCUUGGUCAAAUCCACGCAAAUUAUCUUUGCUGGCUGUAAACAAUCCUAAUUGGGCAACCACUUUGUGACUUCCAGCAGCGGUUGAAUUGAGGAUGAUGCUGUCAGGAGAGAGUUCUAGUUGCUGGUCCCCUGAAGACCCGAAGACUUACGGAUCUACUGGUUUUGUUUUGUUUCCUUUUUGACUGUGUUUCAGACUUAGUUUGUUUGGAUACUUGGAU